GGCCGUUGCGGCUACAGGCGCCGGCCUUGAAAACCAACCGAGUAUGCUCGGGCCCCGCCCGGUGAGGCCGCACAGCUCAGAGCUCAGCCCGGGUUUGCAGAAACAAAGGAUCCUCCCACGGAAGGGAACUGUCGUGAACUCAGAAGUUAGUUUUCGUCCCUGGACCUUUUUAGAAUCGGGCUCCAGCCCAUCACCCUCUCGUUUUGUCCUCAGGAACGGCGGCAGCAGUCUCUUCCCAAUGUUGAGAGCAAAAAGUGUGAACCCAGAAAUUCCGAGAUAGAUCUCAGUUUCUUGCCAAGGUUGACGACACGCGCGUGACAGCCUCAGGAAGUCCUCACGACAUGUGCCCAAGGUGGUCGGGACACAGCUUAGUUUUAUACAUUUUAUGGAGACAUGAGACAUCAAUCAGUGUAUGUAAGUACAUUGGUUCUGUCUGGAAAGGCGGGACAACUUGAAGCAAAGGCAGGAAGACUCGAAGCAGGGAGGGGCUUCCAGGAAACUGAAGUGCCCACCCCUCAGCAUGGUGCCUAUCACCCACAGUCUGGAAGAGCUCUGGUAGGUGCUGGAAGCUCCCGUGGGGGUCUGGACCCUCCUGGGAAAGAACCAGGGGCAGAGUUCACAAUCCUGGAGGUCAGCCUCUGAGGCCCAUGUCACCAGGCCAGUGGAUCCACUGAAUGGCCCCUGGCUCAAGCAUUGCCAGCAGUGGGGACAGGCGAAGGAGCACAGGCCCACUGGGCAGCAGGAAGCAGGGGUGGACCUCGCUGUGGGAGAAGUGGGUGCUGUACCAGCUGCGGGAAAAAGGUCACUCCCCGGAGUACCUGGGGCCUGGCUGAAGGUACUGGCGAAGUGUGGCUGCACUGGGGACAGGAAUGAGGUACUGGGUGAAUGCCAGAUGUUGAUGCCGGGCAGAGACUGCAGGUUUGGGGAAGGUCUGGCUGCAGGGAGCCUUGGCCAAAAGCUCAGAGACCAGGUCAGUGUUUCUGACGCCAAGGGCUUAUGACAGCUCCCAAAGAGACUCCUGCUGGUCCCUUCCAAAUGUGUUAUUUUUCUGAGCGGCCACUGGGAAACUGCUGAUUCAAAACUUACCUCUUGCCUUGUCAACUCCCCAAGGCCUACUCAUAUUCAACCUUCACAACAGCAGCAUUCAGAUGGGUACCCCUGAGAGCCACCCUCAUCCCCCACCCCCAGACAGUGCUGGUCAACUGAGGAGCUCACCAGGCAGUGACAUUCCCGCAUGCCUCAAGGCCAACCAGAGGAGCCGCCAUCAACCACACAGGUAGCUGUUCCAGGGCCUAGGGGCCUGGAGAGAGAAAG